rnacentral:tRNA from 1 species
GGGAAAUUCAGGGCUAGUUGGUGCGCACGCUUAGAAAGCGUGCAUAGGGGAACCUAUCGAGGGUUCAAAUCCCUCAUCCUCCG